rnacentral:rRNA from 1 species
UACGUAGGGGGCAAGCGUUGUCCGGAAUCAUUGGGCGUAAAGCGCGUGUAGGCGGUUCGGUAAGUCGGCUGUGAAAGUCCAGGGCUCAACCCUGGGAUGCCGGUCGAUACUGCCGGACUAGAGUUCGGAAGAGGCGAGUGGAAUUCCCGGUGUAGCGGUGAAAUGCGUAGAUAUCUGGAGGAACACCGGUGGCGAAGGCGGCAUCCUGGACCGGUAUUGACGCUGAGGCGCGAAAGCUAGGGGAGCAAACGGG